rnacentral:rRNA from 1 species
AGCGUCGUUUCAACCCUCGAGCCCCUGUGGCCCGGCGUUGGGGAUCUGCCACGGCAGGCCCCUAAAGCCAGUGGCGGACCCGAAGGGCCCUCUCCUUUGCGCAGUAGCAUUCGCCUCGCAUCGGGAGUCCUCGGCGUCCUGCCUCUAAACCCCCCACAAGCCCGCCUCGGCGGCACCAAGGUUGACCUCGGAUCAGGUAGGAAUACCCGCUGAACUUAAGCAUAUCAAUAAGCGGAGGAAAAGAAACCAACAGGGAUUGCCUCAGUAACGGCGAGUGAAGCGGCAACAGCUCAAAUUUGAAAUCUGGCUCCUUCGGGGUCCGAGUUGUAAUUUGCAGAGGAUGCGUCGGGUACGGGUCCCUACCGAGUUCCCUGGAACGGGACGCCAUAGAGGGUGAGAGCCCCGUCUGGUAGGAUACCCAGCCCAUGUGACGCUCCCUCGACGAGUCGAGUAGUUUGGGAAUGCUGCUCUAACGGGAGGUAUACUCCUUCCAAAGCUAAAUACCGGCUGGAGACCGAUAGCGCACAAGUAGAGUGAUCGAAAGAUGAAAAGCACUUUGAAAAGAGAGUCAAACAGCACGUGAAAUUGUUAAAAGGGAAGCACUCGCUACCAGACUUGGGUUUGGCGGUUCAACCGGGGCCACGCCCCGGGGCAUUCCGCCAGCUCAGGCCAGCAUCAGCUUUCCGUCGGGGGUAAAGACGUCGGGAA